rnacentral:ncRNA from 1 species
AUAAAUCCUGUGAAGUGGAGAGUAAUAAUAAUUUAAGUCUUAAGCGAGCAGAGUAGAGUGGGAGUCUGUAGAGUUAUCUAUUGUGAAAAGAGCCAUGGAGGAGCCGCCCUAAAGGUUAAGUCUUAGUAAGGUGUGCCGCAGCCAUGCGUUAAGAUGUUGAGAGAAUCAGAUUUAUAUUUAAAUAUCUUUUUAUUGAUUUAUUGUCUGAUUAAUUAGAGUGGUAACGCGAUUUAACUCGUCUCUAUG